UGGGGAAUAUUGCACAAUGGGCGCAAGCCUGAUGCAGCCAUGCCGCGUGUGUGAAGAAGGCCUUCGGGUUGUAAAGUACUUUCAGCGGGGAGGAAGGGAGUAAAGUUAAUACCUUUGCUCAUUGACGUUACCCGCAGAAGAAGCACCGGCUAACUCCGUGCCAGCAGCCGCGGUAAUACGGAGGGUGCAAGCGUUAAUCGGAAUUACUGGGCGUAAAGCGCACGCAGGCGGUUUGUUAAGUCAGAUGUGAAAUCCCCGGGCUCAACCUGGGAACUGCAUCUGAUACUGGCAAGCUUGAGUCUCGUAGAGGGGGUAGAAUUCCAGGUGUAGCGGUGAAAUGCGUAGAGAUCUGGAGGAAUACCGGUGGCGAAGGCGGCCCCCUGGACGAAGACUGACGCUCAGGUGCGAAAGCGUGGGGAGCAAACAGG
rnacentral:rRNA from 1 species